GAGUUUGAUCCUGGCUCAGGAUGAACGCUAGCGGGAGGCCUAACACAUGCAAGCUGAGCGGUAUUUGUCUUUCGGGACAGAGAGAGCGGCGUACGGGUGCGUAACACGUGUGCAACCUGCCUUUAUCAGGAGGAUAGCCUUUCGAAAGGAAGAUUAAUACUCCAUAAUAUAUUAAUUGGCAUCAAUUGAUAUUGAAAACUCCGGUGGAUAAAGAUGGGCACGCGCAAGAUUAGAUAGUUGGUGAGGUAACGGCUCACCAAGUCGAUGAUCUUUAGGGGGCCUGAGAGGGUGAUCCCCCACACUGGUACUGAGACACGGACCAGACUCCUACGGGAGGCAGCAGUGAGGAAUAUUGGACAAUGGGUAGCGCCUGAUCCAGCCAUCCCGCGUGAAGGAUUAAGGACCUAUGGUUUGUAAACUUCUUUUGUACAGGGAUAAACCUACCCUCGUGAGGGUAGCUGAAGGUACUGUACGAAUAAGCACCGGCUAACUCCGUG
rnacentral:rRNA from 1 species